GUAAAGUUCAUCCCAAAAGCUAUGGAAGAACAGCAACUUUGGAGGUUAUACGUGCCUCAGUGGAAAACUGUCAAGACAAGUGAAAAUCUUGUGAGAGAAGGUUUGCCAGUUUCAGUACUUCCUGGCUGCCGAGAACAUUUACUGCAAAUCAAUGCUCUAUCCGCAAUCUAAUUUCCUAGAAGAGACAGGACCAGUUCCGAAUUGAAUGCCACCACCCUCGUGGAGAUGCAUAAGAAACCAAU